AUCCCAUGAUGAGGACACUUAUGAAGUAAAUUCUUGAAUCGCUCUCAAGCCUCAUAUAAAGACUCGUCAUUCAAUUGUCAGAAGGUAGUGAUCUCAUUCCUCAACUU
rfam:Gossypium arboreum cultivar AKA8401 contig_15104_1, whole genome shotgun sequence.